GAAUACUAUAAGCGCAAGCUCAAAAUUCAAAGAACUUGGCGGCAUUUUAUGAACACUAGAGGAACCUGUCCUGUAAUCGAUAAUCCCCGCUAAACCUUAACUUCUUUCGCCUUCAGCCUAUAUACCGCCGUCAUCAGUUUAUUCCCAAGGACUCUCUAAUAGGCGAAAUCGGCUAAUCCCCAAAACAUCAGGUCAAGGUGUAGUCAUAAGAAGUGAUUAGAUGGGUUACAUUUCCUACACAGGAAUCACAGAAAAUCUUUUGAAACAAAGAUAAAAGUAGAAUUUAGUAGUAAGUAAAAAAUAGAGUGUUUUACUGAAACAAACUAAAAUGAGCACAUACCGCCCGUCACUCCCUCCAACCAUAACUUUAAAACAUACAUAUAUAAAUCAUAUAAAUCAUCAAAAGGAGGCAUAAGUCGUAACAAGGUAAGUGUACUAGAAAGUGCACUUCGUAAAU
rnacentral:rRNA from 1 species